UUAAAUGAAUUGACGGGGACCCGCACAAGCGGUGGAUGAUGUGGUUUAAUUCGAUGCAACGCGAAAAACCUUACCCACCUUUGACAUGGCAGGAAUCCUAAAGAGAUUUGGGAGUGCUCGAAAGAGAACCUGCACACAGGUGCUGCAUGGCUGUCGUCAGCUCGUGUCGUGAGAUGUUGGGUUAAGUCCCGCAACGAGCGCAACCCUUGCCAUUAGUUGCUACGAAAGGGCACUCUAAUGGGACUGCCGGUGACAAACCGGAGGAAGGUGGGGAUGACGUCAAGUCCUCAUGGCCCUUAUAGGUGGGGCUACACACGUCAUACAAUGGCCGGUACAGAGGGUAGCCAACCCGCGAGGGGGAGCCAAUCCCACAAAGCCGGUCGUAGCCCGGAUCGCAGUCUGCAACUCGACUGCGUGAAGUCGGAAUCGCUAGUAAUCGUGGAUCAGAAUGUCACGGUGAAUACGUUCCCGGGUCUU
rnacentral:rRNA from 1 species